CCUACGGGAGGCAGCAGUAGGGAAUAUUGGACAAUGGGCGCAAGCCUGAUCCAGCCAUGCCGCGUGAGUGAUGAAGGCCUUCGGGUUGUAAAGCUCUUUUGGCGGGGACGAUAAUGACGGUACCCGCAGAAUAAGCCCCGGCUAACUUCGUGCCAGCAGCCGCGGUAAU
rnacentral:rRNA from 1 species